UACGGAGGGUGCAAGCGUUGUUCGGAUUUAUUGGGCGUAAAGCGCGUGUAGGCGGUUUCUUAAGUCUGAUGUGAAAGCCCUGGGCUCAACCCAGGAAGUGCAUUGGAUACUGGGAGACUUGAAUACGGGAGAGGGUAGUGGAAUUCCUAGUGUAGGAGAGAAAUCCGUAGAUAUUAGGAGGAACACCGGUGGCGAAGGCGGCUACCUGGACCGAUAUUGACGCUGAGACGCGAAAGCGUGGGGAGCAAACGGG
rnacentral:rRNA from 1 species